GACGAACCGUGCGACCGUUGUUCGGAUUCACUGGGCUUAAAGGGCGCGUAGGCGGAUGGUCAAGUCGGGGGUGAAAUCUUUCAGCUUAACUGGAAAAGUGCCUCCGAUACUGAUCGUCUCGAGGGAGGUAGGGGCAUGUGGAACUUCCGGUGGAGCGGUGAAAUGCGUAGAUAUCGGAAGGAACGCCGGUGGCGAAAGCGACGUGCUGGACCUCCUCUGACGCUGAGGCGCGAAAGCUAGGGGAGCAAACGGG
rnacentral:rRNA from 1 species